rnacentral:rRNA from 1 species
AUGUUGUUGAACUGGGGAACACGGUUUAGUAUAAUCAAAGGGGUUGCAAGGGGUCUUCUCUAUCUUCAUGAAGAUUCAAGGUUAACCAUAAUUCACAGGGAUCUCAAGGCUGGAAAUAUUUUGCUAGAUGCAAAUCUGAAACCUAAGAUUGCAGAUUUUGGUAUGACGAGGAUCUUUGGUGAAAACCAACAAAAUGCAAAUACCCAACGUGUUGUUGGAACGUAUGGCUACAUGGCCCCUGAGUAUGCAAUGGAAGGCAUUUUCUCUAUGAAGUCUGACAUCUACAGCUUCGGCGUGUUACUACUAGAGGUUGUAACCGGUAUAAGGAGAAACUCUAAUGGACACACAAUGAGUUUUCCUGGUCUCACGGUUUAUGCAUGGAAUAUGUGGAAGGAAGGAAAGACAGAGGAACUGGCAGACUCGUCUCUCAUGGAUAACCAUUCACCAAAUGAAGUUUUGCUCUGCAUCCAUGUGGGACUCAUGUGUGUCCAAGAAAACCCAGCUGACAGGCCACUCAUGUCAAAUGUUGUGUUCGUCUGGGAGAUCGGAAGCACAACACUUCCAGCCCCCAACCUCCCUGCCUACUUUGCACGACGAAGCGGGAAAAUAGAGGAAAACAGGGUUGAUAUUCGAAACUCCGUGAAUAGUUUUACUCUUUCUGAGAUACAAGGGCGGUGA